rnacentral:tRNA from 1 species
CACGUCGUACUCGGGGGCGGCGGCGAACCCGAGCCCUUCGCGCUCGGCAUCUGCGCGCCAGCGCUCCCACGUUUGGAUCGUGACGUCGUGCCCA